GAGAGCGAGCCUGGGAGAAUGAGUUAAACAAUUGCCCAUUUUGGGUGCAUUGGAAGAGGUGAGAUAAGAUGGUGAUUCAUUUUCCCAUGCCACUUGGCUGAACUGGCCUCCAAAAUUUCCUGUCCUGGAAUAUUUGAGGGUAGAUUGAACUUUGAAUACACUU
rnacentral:antisense_RNA from 1 species